rnacentral:ncRNA from 2 species
GGAGCGGCUUCUGGAGAGUCCGUAAGGUAAUGCGGCGCCGAAGGAUUCACAAUCUCAGGCAAAAGGACAGAAGAGUAACU